GAGUUGAAUGGUAAAGUUAGCAUAUAUUCUUCGUUGAUCCUGCUUCAUCAUAAUUGUGUGUAUUUUUUAUAAAUCAACAUUUUUGUCUUGGUGUUUUCUUCGUGAUGCUAAAAUAUCAUCAUUUGCGCAUUGCAUCCUUGCGUUUUCUUUCAUUUGGUUUCAAUGAUUGCAACCAUUUUGUAAACAAAAAAAAAUCGAUGCUCUUGGUUCAGAGAAAUAAUAAUUCAAUCUCAAAGACUAUUAUCAAGUUUUUGGCAUUCAUUUGUUAACAGCAAUCAUGGUGGACUUCCUUUUGGUCCUACUCAACUUCCUGUAUUAGGGUUGUGUGAACUCUGAAGGGACUAACAUUGCAUACGAGAUCGUAGUAGCAUUAUGGCUAGACAUAGACUUGCUGAAGUGAGGAUUUUAUCAAUGGCCAGUUUUCUGUCUCAAAUUAUUAGAGCUGGGAUACCGCUAUUUCGUUUGGUUGCCUUACUAUGUUAGUUCUAAUUUCUAAAUUUCUAUCCUUAACAUGUUAAACUGUACCUUUUUUUAUUCAAGAUUUCUAGGUUUAGUUGUUAUCUAGCUUUUAUUGUCAUACUUCAGUUCAUAAUGGAUACUUACAUGCACAUUCUUUUUCAUAUAUUAAUACACUUUUGGUGUAUCUGUUUA